GCUUCCUCAACGUUAUUGAAUCCACAGGUUCUGAAUACAGACCAGGCGACUUCCGGUUACCAUCGUUGGCUGUGUCGUCGCCGAGAGUGAGAUAUUGGGAUCUACUGAUAUUGCUUUCACUGCUUCUCGAACACGAGAUUGAUUGGAAUUGAUCUUGCUGCUACUGCGUGAUGAGGAGUGAUUAACGUUGUUAUCAUCAUCGUCCAUAGGUGUGAGAACAGAUGGAAUUAAGUCGGGCUUAAAUGUAGACAAUUUUGGGGUAUGUGAACGUUCAUGGGGUUGUUGCUGCUGCUGUGGACUCCAUAAGUCCUCGUAAUCGCUCUCCUUGUCGCGAACAACCGUCUUGGUCUAACAAAAAGAAAAGAAAAGGUUCAUAAAUAAAUAAGUAAGCAAUGAAGCUUCUCUUGAAUAAACAAUGGGCACGCCACUGUGGAGUGUGUACACGUUUAUCUACAAGUGCAGCCAUGUGAGUGGGUGGCAAAAUUAUAAAUUAUGAUGAUAAUAUUCACGUCUCACAGUGUCAAGUACAAACAAAUAGCAAGAGUCAUCUUUAUAUUCCCGUUAAAAUAGAUAUAUUAAGACAGCAGACGAUAUAUGUAAGCUCCUAUGACCCGAUACACAUUGCAUGCAUACAUUUACAAUACAAUAUACACCAGGAUAUGACCAAACUUAGAAAGUAGCAACUAUUACUUAUGUAAGCCACAAGGGAUUAAUAAAUACUUUCACGCACUGUGUCACGUACAGUGCAUUCGUUAUUCCCGAAAGAGUAAAGUAAAAUUAAUGAAAUGAAUCCACAGAAGUAUUAUACCACGAGGUAAAGACGCAAAGAAAGGAAAUUCAGAUCUAAUGUAGUAAGUACAGUACGAUCCUCUAUCAAAAUGUAGACGAUACAUUUAUGCAUGCUUUUUAAGAGAAAGUGAAAGAAAAAUCCAUGCUUUUUUGGCUGAAUAACACAGUCAAGAACAACAUGUAUUUUUUGUGUCACAACAAGAUCCUGAAGAGAAAGAGAAAAAAAUCAAAAGAAGGUGAGUAAUGAAACAGUAAUAAGAAUAUGGGAGGAUAUAUGAGAAGUAAAUACAAGACGCAAAAGGGAACAAACAAGUCAAAGUAAAGAAGUCUCAUCUUACUCCUUUGAAGAUAUCCAAAGCCAAAAUCUCCGUGUCUUUGUAAUGGAUAGAUUCGGCUUUGUUUCCUCCGCCAGAGUUUCUUUUCUUCUUCUUUCUCCCUGUUCGCCCACUUCUAUCGCUGGUGGUGGACUGGAUAUCUGCAGAGGGGGUGGACUGCAAGGAGGAUGGUGGCGAAAGGGGAGACAGUAAGG